UCCCAGAGAGAUGGUAUACGGAAGACCUACUUCUCCUUCGUUAAAAUUUUCUUAGUAGUAGCGCGGGAGUCCUAAAUCUGAGCCAUGCCCCAGUUUCGAUUCUUGUUCAAGUCCAAUCGCUUCCAUUCGCUCUCUAGUUCCUUCAAUUCGGCCACUUCCUCAGUCUUCCGUUCUCAGUUUGCUCCGUUUUCUUCUCCUUCCAACCUUCACGACCGCCCGGCUUCGAAUGUUUUUUCGUAUUUUCGCCGUCUACUUCAAUAUUCUAACGCCGCUGGUUCCGAUAAUGGUUUGUGUCUCUCAAUUCGGAAGAGUUUGAGCAAAAUGGGAACUGGAAAUUUCAGGAGUUUCAGUACCGAGCCUGACCGGGAGUCCAUAGAGUAUGAUGUCGUAAUCGUCGGAGCAGGACCUGCCGGGUUAUCUGCGGCGAUUCGGUUUAAGCAAAUGUGUCGUGAAAAUGAUGUCGAUUUGUCAGUAUGUGUCGUCGAGAAAGGUGCCGAAGUCGGUGCUCAUAUUAUUUCUGGAAACGUUUUUGAACCCCGAGCGCUGGAUGAACUUCUCCCGAGGUGGAAGCAAGAAGAGGCUCCAAUCAGUACCCCUGUUACUUCUGAUCAGUUUUGGUUCCUGACCAAGGACCGGGCAUUAUCACUUCCUUGUCCUUUCAACAAUGAGGGAAAUUAUGUAAUAAGUCUUAGUCAGUUAGUACGUUGGAUGGGAGUGAAAGCUGAAGAGUUGGGAGUAGAAAUAUAUCCAGGAUUUGCUGCUAGUGAGAUAUUAUUUGAUGCAAACAGCAAAGUUAUUGGCAUUAGGACUAAUGAUAUGGGAAUUUCAAAAGAUGGUUCAAAGAAGGAAAAUUUUCAACGUGGUGUUGAGAUCAAAGGUCGCACAACACUUCUGGCUGAGGGAUGCCGAGGAUCAUUAUCAGAGAAAAUCAUUAAGAAGUACAACCUGAGAGAGAAGGGUAGUGCACAACAUCAGACAUAUGCCUUGGGAAUUAAAGAGGUUUGGGAAAUUGAUGCUGAAAAGCACCAACCUGGGGCUGUACUUCACACACUGGGCUGGCCCUUGGAUCAUAAGACUUAUGGGGGAUCAUUUCUGUAUCACAUGAAUGAUAGACAAAUAUCUAUAGGCCUUGUGGUUGCUUUGAACUAUCAGAACCCUUUUAUGAAUCCUUAUGAGGAAUUUCAGAAACUUAAGCAUCACCCUGCAAUCAAAACAUUUCUGGAAGGUGGAACAGUUCUCCAAUAUGGAGCUAGAACUUUAAAUGAAGGAGGUUUGCAGUCUAUCCCAUAUCCAGUUUUCCCUGGAGGAGCAAUUAUUGGAUGUUCUUCUGGCUUCUUAAAUGUGCCCAAGAUAAAAGGAACUCACACAGCUAUGAAAUCAGGGAUGCUUGCAGCUGAAGCUACAUUCAGUAUGCUUAAUGAAGGUCUGGAAAUGGAUAGAUACUGGGAUGCUUUGAGGAAUUCAUGGAUUUGGGAAGAACUAUUCAGAGCUAGGAACUAUCGACCAGCCUUUGAUUAUGGACUUAUUCCAGGGCUUGCCAUAAGUGCUUUGGAACAUUACUUGCUCAAGGGAAGGCACCCAAUUACCUUGAAGCAUGGUAAACCUGAUCAUGAAGCUACACAUGCUGCAAAGUUAUAUUCUCCUAUGCCCUACCCAAAGCCGGAUGGUGUUUUCUCAUUUGAUGUACCUACCUCAUUGCACAGGUUUGAGAUAAUGAAUUCUUCUUUAUUGCUUAGUGCCGAACCAAUUGAUAACCGGUAACAGGAAGAAAACCAGGUAACGGUAAUGAGAAGGAAGUUGUGCCCAUAAGUAUGUAAAGGGCUGGAGGUCACCAAACUCGUACAUAACUAGCAGAAUGUGUAAACAGAAACUGGAGAGGGAAGAGCAGGUUAAGAGUUGAGAAAAGACAAAAGUCGAAGGGCCAAUGUGUAAAAGCCAAUCAUAUUUCUUCACCAUCACUUGCUCGUAACUUCUUCACCCUUUUGCCAUUUAGUGUAAAAUAAUGUGAUGUAACUUAACACUUGCUAGUAGAAUAAUGCAUGUCAUUGGCGUAAAAGUAAUUUGCAUGUGGUGAUGGGAAAAUGGCAAAGGUCCUACACAAGUUCUUUAAUAGCUAAUUAAAAUUCUAGUAAUCUCCUUUAAUUACUUGAUCAAAGACAAUGCUCCUGCUUUUGGGGGAAAAUACAUUGGCUUUUCCUAAAUCUCUGGAUAUUUUAGGGCUGUAGGCAAAGUCUGAAGACCAAAUCAUUGCCUUUUCCCAUAUACUCCUAUAUGAGGGUGUCUUUUUCUUCUUCCAAACCAAUUUGUAAAAGGACAAGAGAGUGACAGUUUGUAGAGCAUGCGGCAGUGUCAUGUCAACCUCCGACCUGAGAUUAAGGCUGAGAAAAGUCUCUCCUGAGGAGAUGCAGGACAACUUAAAGGAAUUUCCUGCAUGUAGCCAUAACUUCACUUUAUUGUGAAUGAGAAGGGUGGAAAGUUUUACCGCUGAUACCGCGCGCCUCCUUUGAUGAUAAUAUUUUUGUGGCUUACAAAAGAGCAACACAAAUCAUGAACACGAUCAACCUCCUCACCUUCGGUUGAGAGAUCCAAAGAUUCCAGAACUUGUAAAUUUACCUGUGUAUGCUGGUCCUGAGUCGCGAUAUUGUCCUGCACGAGUAUAUGA